rnacentral:rRNA from 1 species
UGAUUAAGCCAUGCGAGUCGAAUGUAGCAAUACAUGGCGUACUGCUCAGUAACACGUGGACAACCUGCCCUUAGGACGGGUAUAAACCCGGGAAACUGGGUAUAAUUCCCGAUAGGUCUCGUCUGCUGGAAUGCAUCGAGAUCCAAAGCUCCGGCGCCUAAGGAUGGGUCUGCGGCCUAUCAGGUAGUAGUGGGUGUAGCGUACCUACUAGCCUACGACGGGUACGGGUUGUGAGAGCAAGAGCCCGGAGAUGGAUUCUGAGACACUAAUCCAGGCCCUACGGGGUGCAGCAGGCGCGAAAACUUUACAAUGCUGGGAACAGCGAUAAGGGAACCUCGAGUGCCAGGUUACAAAUCUGGCUGUCGUGAUGCCUAAAAAGCAUUAUAUAGCAAGGGCCGGGCAAGACCGGUGCCAGCCGCCGCGGUAACACCGGCGGCUCGAGUGGUAACCGUUAUUAUUGGGUCUAAAGGGUCUGUAGCCGGCCGGAUAAGUCUCUUGGGAAAUCUGGCAGCUUAACUGUCAGGCUUUCAGGGGAUACUGUCUGGCUCGAGGCCGGGAGAGGUGAGAGGUACUUCAGGGGUAGGGGUGAAAUCUUGUAAUCCUUGAAGGACCACCAGUGGCGAAGGCGUCUCACCAGAACGGACCUGACGGCAAGGGACGAAAGCUAGGGGCACGAACCGGAUUAGAUACCCGGGUAGUCCUAGCCGUAAACGAUACUCGCUAGGUGUCGGCCACGGCGCGACCGUUGUCGGUGCCGUAGGGAAGCCGUGAAGCGAGCCACCUGGGAAGUACGGCCGCAAGGCUGAAACUUAAAGGAAUUGGCGGGGGAGCA